UAUCUAAAAAAAGCUAUGCCGAUCUUUUCAGUCAAGAAGCGCAACAUUCUAAAACGCCGUUUCCUUUUUAUACAUAUGUAACUCUGGACAUAUGGUCUCCGUCUUUAACUGAAAAGCACACUGCCUUGCCAUGGUCAUUCAAAGCUGGCUAUACUUGCAAUCGCCCAGGCUUCAACCACAUUAUACAGCUUCGCCAAUGGCAGGGUCCAAAGGAAGCCUGUCCGGGUAGAUUUGCUGGA